rfam:Triticum aestivum genome assembly, contig: Triticum_aestivum_CS42_TGACv1_scaffold_289630_4AL
CAAGUACUCCUUCCGUCACAAAAUUCUUGUCUUAGAUUUGUCUAAAUACGGAUGUAUCAAGUCACGUUUUAGUAUUUGAUACAUCCGUAUCUAGACUAAUCUAAGACAAGAAUUUUAGGACGGAGGGAGUAGCAA